rnacentral:rRNA from 1 species
AGAAUAGUAAUUAAUUUUAAUGAGUAGUAAAAGUUAGGUUCUCUAAACUUAAAAAUUUUGGCGGUUCUUUAAUCUAUUCAGAGGAAUUUGUUGCGUAAUCGAUAGUCCCCGUUAGACCUUACUUUAAAAUGUAUUCAGUUUAUAUACCGUCGUUAUAAGAAUUUUUUAUUAGGAAGAAAAUUUUCUAGGUUUAGAAUAUUAAUUUAUAUCAGAUAAAGGUGUAGCUUAUAUUAAAGAGUAAAUGAAUUACAAUAAAAGUAUUUAGAUGGAUUAAAAUAUGAAAAUUAUUAUGAAGGUGGAUUUGAUAAUAAAUUAAAUUAGAGAGUUUAGUUGAUUUGAGUUCUAAAGAGUGUAC